GUCCUUUAGAAUUUAAUUUAAGGUCUAACCUGCCCACUGAAUUAUUUUAAAUGGCCGCAGUAAUUUGACUGUGCAAAGGUAGCAUAAUCAUUAGUUUUUUAAUUAAAAGCUUGUAUGAAAGGUUGGACGAGGUAAAAACUGUCUCUAAUUAAUUUAAUUUAGAAUUUAACUUUUAAGUUAAAAGGCUUAAAUAUUAUUAAAAGACGAGAAGACCCUAUAGAUCUUUAUAAUUUAUUUAUUAAAUUUAAUUAAGAAUUUUUAAGAUUUUAUUAAUAUAAUUAUUUUAUUGGGGUAAUAUAAAGAUUAAAAUAAUUCUUUUUUUUUAUUUACAUAAAUUUAUGAAUUUUAUGAUCCAAUUUUAUUGAUUAUAAGAUUAAGUUACCUUAGGGAUAACAGCGUAAUUUUUUUAGAGAGUUCAUAUCGAUAAAAAAGUUUGCGACCUCGAUGUUGGAUUAAAGAUUAUUUCAGGUGUAGAAGUUUGAAAAUUUUGGUCUGUUCGACCAUUAAAUCUUUACAUGAUCUGAGUUCAGACCGGUGUAAGCCAGGUCGGUUUCUAUCUUUAAUAAAUUAAAAUAUUUUAGUACGAAAGGACCAAUUAUUUGAUAUAUAGAUAUUUAAUAUUUUGAUUAUUAUUAA
rnacentral:rRNA from 1 species